UGCAGUCGUACGCACUGGCCCAACUGAUUGAUGGUGCUUGCACCUGAUUGACGAUGGAUCACCAGUGAGUGGCGGACGGGUGAGUAACACGUAGGUAACCUGCCCCGGAGCGGGGGAUAACAUUUGGAAACAGAUGCUAAUACCGCAUAACAACAAAAGCCACAUGGCUUUUGUUUGAAAGAUGGCUUUGGCUAUCACUCUGGGAUGGACCUGCGGUGCAUUAGCUAGUUGGUAAGGUAACGGCUUACCAAGGCGAUGAUGCAUAGCCGAGUUGAGAGACUGAUCGGCCACAAUGGAACUGAGACACGGUCCAUACUCCUACGGGAGGCAGCAGUAGGGAAUCUUCCACAAUGGGCGCAAGCCUGAUGGAGCAACACCGCGUGAGUGAAGAAGGGUUUCGGCUCGUAAAGCUCUGUUGUUGGAGAAGAACGUGCGUGAGAGUAACUGUUCACGCAGUGACGGUAUCCAACCAGAAAGUCACGGCUAACUACGUGCCAGCAGCCGCGGUAAUACGUAGGUGGCAAGCGUUAUCCGGAUUUAUUGGGCGUAAAGCGAGCGCAGGCGGUUGCUUAGGUCUGAUGUGAAAGCCUUCGGCUUAACCGAAGAAGUGCAUCGGAAACCGGGCGACUUGAGUGCAGAAGAGGACAGUGGAACUCCAUGUGUAGCGGUGGAAUGCGUAGAUAUAUGGAAGAACACCAGUGGCGAAGCGGCUGUCUGGUCUGCAACUGACGCUGA
rnacentral:rRNA from 2 species